rnacentral:rRNA from 1 species
AUACGUAGGUGGCAAGCGUUGUCCGGAAUUACUGGGUGUAAAGGGCGUGUAGGCGGGGAUGCAAGUCAGAUGUGAAAUUCCGGGGCUCAACCCCGGCACUGCCUCUGAAACUGGGUCUCUUGAGGGCUGGAGAGGAAAGCGGAAUUCCUAGUGUAGCGGUGAAAUGCGUAGAUAUUAGGAGGAACACCAGUGGCGAAGGCGGCUUUCUGGACAGUAACUGACGCUGAGGCGCGAAAGCGUGGGUAGCGAACAGGAUUAGAUACCCUGGUAGUCCACGCCGUAAACGAUGGAUACUAGGUGUAGGAGGUAUCGACCCCUUCUGUGCCGGAGUUAACACAAUAAGUAUCCCACCUGGGGAGUACGGCCGCAAGGUUGAAACUCAAAUGAAUUGACGGGG